CCGGGGGGCCGGGCGACCGCUGGCGGGCGAGAGAUCGCGCGCUGGAGGAAAGUCCGGGCUCCACGGAAAGACGGUGCCGGCUAACGGCCGGCGGGGGCGAGAGCCCUCAGGGAAAGUGCCACAGAGAACAGACCGCCACGCCCGAGAAAUCCGGCGCGGCAAGGGUGAAACGGUGGGGCAAGAGCCCACCGCGCUUCCAGCAAUGGCGGCGGCACGGCAAACCCCACCGGGAGCAAGGCCGAAUAGGGAGGGCCGCGGUAACGCAGGGGUUUUUCGCCCCGCCCUCCGGGUUGGCCGCGCGAAGCGGGUGGUGACACCCGCUCCAGAGGAAUGGUCGCACAGGCGCGCAAGCGCUGGACAGAACCCGGCUUACAGGCCCUCCGGCACC
rnacentral:RNase_P_RNA from 1 species